rnacentral:lncRNA from 1 species
GGAAAAGAUACAAAAUUAGGACAGUCGAAUAUAUUUAUAGAAUGGAGAGAUGGGAGAUGCUGGUGAGGUCCCUCUAAUGCAGAAAACGACUUGAUGUUUGUACAAAGCGAGAAGUUCAAGCUAUUUAGGUUAGGAAAAGAGCCUAAUGAGAAUGAUUCUAGUGAAUCAAGGGCAUUCAACACGUUCAAAUUUUGUAGAGAUGUGCACAAGAGGAUUCUAGAAAAAUCAAACUCACCGCAGUUAUUAAUCAUCAAUCUCUUCAAGGAAACAGGUAGACGACCUUCAGGAAGGGACUUAAGAGAAGCACAACUUCCAAUAGACAAUCCUUCAAGACGAGUGCAGUGCUGCAGCAUCAGCUCCAGUGAGGAAUCUUGGACACUGCAAUUUUCAACUGCUAAAUUUUGCAGCUCUGUUGGUAGUGCCUGCAGCUGCAUUUUAUCACAAUUCACUAAUUUCAGUUCAUGCAUGUCAGGCGCCCUCGAGAGAGCACUACCAAGCGUCUCACAAUUUUCAAUCCUAAAUUUCCUUAGAAGAGGAAGUGUUUUAGGCAGAUCUCCCUUCAGCUUGGGACAAUCUAUUAUGUACAGUUCUUGCAGACUACAGAAAGUUCCAUUUUCAUCUCCCAAACACAACCAUUUUUUCCACUCCGGCAUGUUCUCGAACCUCAGUAUUUCAAGUGAGUCAAAGGACUUCAUACUAGAACCAUUCCCAUAGAACUCAGAACCUACUGCAGUUACUCGAGGAAAUCCUCUGAGAGACAGGUUCUUCAAAGACCGUAGAUGUCCAAGUGCUGGCAAGGACAAGCAAUGCUCACAAUUGCCCAAUUCCAAGGAUACAAUUUUUGAAAAGGAAUGAUCUCCCACCCAUUCUGGAAAUUGUGUACCCCCAUAAUAGAAAAUUUUGAGGUGUUCCAGAUCUGGAGAAGGCUGUAGUUGCUCAAGUACAUUUCUUUGAUGAUCCAAGUCUUCAUGAGGCACACACUUAGGUACUUCUACCUCUCUUUCCAUGAACAAAGGCACAACAAACAUAUCCUUAGAAUAAUCUUCAAUUUCAUCUCCCCAACUCAACACUAACCCCUGCAGUUUCUUCUUACCCUUCAAAUCGGCCUUCAAAGCAUCUCCAGAACAACCAACAUUUUGCAAAUUCAAAAUGGAAAGGGUUCCGUGAAGAUGUUGGAGCUCCCCUAACUCACUGAUGCUGGACCCACUGUGUUUGCCUACAACAAAUGUAGUUAACUUGUGCAAAUCUUUUAGUUUGCCCAUAUGUGCUGGCAUCUGUUUCAACUUUGUGCCUCUAAGAUCAAGAUGUUGCAAAUUGAUUAACCUUCCCAAUUUGGUAGGCAACUCAACAAGGUCGCAGCAAUAGGAUAGUAAUAGAAUUUGCAAAUGAAACAAAUGACUCACUGAUUCAGGCAAUUUUUUUAUGUAAGUAUAAGAGAGAUCAAGAUAACGUAGUAGUUUCAAAUUGCCAAUCGAAUUCUGCAACAUGUGGAUAUUCCAAUAAGAAGAUAAAGAGAGCACUCUUAAGCACCCCAACUUGGGCAGCAAAUCAUGCGUUAUAAUGUCACUAACAUACCUGUUCAGCCAAUUCCACGGACCUCUGUCUACAGGCAGAAAAGUUCGUAAAUGCUUGGCUUCAUUCAAGGCCUCAAAUUUUUUAGAUGUAUCAUAUCUUUUCACCAGAUAAGAGAAAUGACGAGUCUUUUCAUUAAUUUCACAAGAGCCAUCAUCCUCUAACCUUGCAAAAAAUUUCCCCGAUACACUUUCAGCCAAGUCAUGCAUUAGGUCAUGCAUAACAAACCUUGUUCCUGAAAAACCAAUUGAUCGCUGAAAAAAUGACCUUGACGCAAGCUCAUCAAAGUAGUAAGCACCUACCUCUUCCAACAUCUUACCAUUUCCUUUGGUGCCGUCUAAUAAGCCUUCUCCCAUCCACAAUAGAACUAAUUUUUCCCUUUGGAAUUCAUAAUCCUUGGGGAAAAGUGAACAGAAUGCAAAGCAUGGUUUUAGAUACGAAGAAAGAUAGUGAUAACUCAACCUUAGGGCUGGAAGAAUGUCACUUUCAUCAUCUGAAAACUCCCAAAUAUCAUUCUUCAAUAUCUUUUCCCAUUCCCUGGCAUCAACUUUCAUGCGUAACAGACCCCCAAGGGUUUUUAUGGCUAAAGGUAGGCCUUUGCACUUUUUCACAAUUUCUCUACCCAUGGCUUCUAAUUCAGGAUGAAUAGUGGUAUUUCCACUACCGCUGCACACAUGCUUGAUGAAUAAGGACCAGCAAUCUUUCUCCGAUAACAGCUUUAGAUUAUAACUUGACGUUGUAGUUCUCAUGACAGAUGCAACACCUUCGUCACGAGUUGUCACGAUGAUCUUACUACCCUCUGCCGCAGACUUAAGAGGGCGUUUCAGUGCUUCCCAAUCAUCAUAUUUCUUGUUCCAAACAUCAUCUAGAACAAGAAGAAAUUUCCUUCCCUGAAGUCUCUCCUUUAAAUGAAUCUGGAGCUGAUUAAGGUCCUUUAUAUCACAAGUAGCGGAAGUGAGCCCUUCAAUGAUGAUUCUUGUUAACCUGUACAUAUCAAAUUCUUCUGUGACACAUACCCAUACUUUGAGCUCAAACCACUCUCUCACUGUGCUGUCAUUGUAGACAAGCUGAGCAAGAGUGGUCUUUCCAAGCCCACCCAUGCCCACAAUAGUAAUCACUCCUAACUCAUGGCAACUUGCAUCAUCUGAAAGCAGCAUCUUAAUUAGAGCUUCUCUAUCAUCAGUCCUACCAUACACUUCAGAUUCAUCUACCAAAGAGGUGGUUGGUAAUUUUGGUGAUGGUUUUUUUCCGACAUCAUUUCUCAGGCCAAGGGUAUCAGUUUGCUUUGCAAUGUCAUCUAGCCUGUUAAGGAUCGCUUCCAACUUUCGCUCCAUCCUCUUAGUAAAUGGAUUAGGAAAAGAGAAACAGUUCCUUACCAGAGGUGUACAGCUAGUUUGAGGUUCUUCUUUCAGCUUGCGUGACAAAGUGAACGAUUCAAUCUCCUCCAAUAGGUCCUCUGCAUCAUAGACAGCAUCUUUAAGCUCAUCGAGCCACUCUUGCACAGCCCGAUUUUUCAUCUGCUUUUCCUCUGCAUCAAUCAGCACUGCCUGAACAGGCAACAGGGUUCUCUUCAGUUUGUGCAGCAGUUCAUCAUUGAGUUGUCUAUUGCUGAAGAAGUUCAAAACCUCACGAGAUGCCAUUCUUUCCAACAACACCUGAAGGAAAGUAGACAGAAAUGCUCCUCCUACCAAUUCAGCCAUAGUUUCUUCUUUGGUAUGGAAGUGAUUGUGAUGAGAAGGUGAAAGCAAAUGCAAUCGAUGGGGAAGAAAGGGGAAAACUUAUGAUCAGGUUCUGUUGCUCAAAGUCCCUGGUGUGUUGUGGAAGGAUACACAAACUUCAACUGAUUUUUCAAAUUGAAAGCUAAAAAAUUAUUUCCAACAAGAUUAGACAUGGCAUAUUAUUUGCAAGGAGUGGGCCACAGAACUUUAUUUGCUUUCGGUGCAUGGGAUUAAAAAUAAACACAUGCAAAAAAUUCAUGAGAUAUACAAACAUACCCAAAAAAUUCGAUGAAGUUUAGAUUAAAAAUAAUAUUUCAAUUUAAUUAAAUCUCAUAGCCUUGCUUUUGUAAUGUUGGGAAUAUCAUUAGCUUUGAUCCUUAAAAUCUUAAUUUCAAACUUCGAAGUAGGUUCCUUUAAUUAUAAACACAUUUCACUGCAUCCAAAUAGAAAUUAACCCACUUUAUUAAACUUCAAUGCUUUUUUCAUUAUUAAAAAGGACCAGUAAUAAAAAUGACCUCAAGAUAAAUAAGUAAAUGUUGAGAGGAUCUGUCUUCAUUAUUAAAAGAAAAGAAAAGUUAAACAUGGAAUAGUUUUUGGUGUUAGGUUUGCUCUUCAAAUAAUGGUGGUUGAGAGCCCAGAAAUGACAAGAAAAUGAGAACAUGGAGCUCUCAUCUUUUCCAUCAGAUAAGACAUUUAAUAUUCAGUCCAAGGAGUGGACCACAGAACUUUAUCUGUGCAAAUACAUCUGUCUGUCUUCGAUGAGGAGCUGUAUUGGAAGGUUCUGAGUGGAUGGUCUAUGAAUGGACACAGAAGGGCGACCAACUAUAAUGGCGCUUGGUGAGGAAAUUGAUUUCAGGUUCAGUGCAAUUUGCUUUUGGUUUUCUUGUCAAUUUCACUAGAGUGGUGCCCCGUUAUGCGUGGGUGUAUUUUUAAUAAAAAAUAAUUUAGAAUUACAUAACAUCAUAAAUAAAAAUAAUAAUAGCAAAAAGAGGGUAAUUUUAAUUUCGAAAAAUUAUAAAUAAUAAUAAUAAUAAUAAUAAAUUAAAAAUAAUUAUUUUAAAAUAUCAAUAUUUUAAAAAUAUUUUCUUAUAUCUUAUCAAGCAAAUUUUUUUAUUUAAAUAAUUUUUAAUUGUUAAUUUUUAAAAACNUUUAAUAUAUGUUAUAUUAAUAUAAUCAUAUUUUGUUAAUUACGAUGAUUCUAAUAGAGAAAUUAAAUUAAAAUUAAGAAAAUUUAAUAUAUUGAAAGUCAUUAUUCAUAAACUACAUAAUUUAUAUAAGUAGCCAAAUAAAAAAAGCUACAUAAUUUAUAUAAUAAAAUUAUUAGAAUAAAAUGAAUAUUUUUUGGAAAGUCAAAAUAAAAUGAAUAUUAAUUACGCAUAUUAAAAUUUUCUUAAUUUUAAUGAUGAAAUUUUGUAAAUUAUCUUCAAUUUUAAUUACUACGUUUUUAUCUUAUACCUUUAUAAUUAUUUAGAAUUAAUCCACUAAAAAUAAUUUUGCGAUCCCCCAAUAAUUUUAGUAAGUCAUUAUUAACUUUAUUCAAUUAAUUAUUUUAUUUUUUAUUACUUAUCCAAAAAAUAAUUUCAUUGUUUUAUUCUUAUCUCUUUUUUAAAUUAAUUUUAUAAAUUUAAUUCAUACAUAAAAAAAUUACAUAAAUAAAAUAAAUUGAAUAAGCUUAAAACUAAACCAAUUUGGAUUUGGGUGAAUCCGACUCACCUCUUCCUUUUAUUUUUUCUUAUCCAUAAAACAACAAUAUAGAAGUAACGUUCUUUGCAUAUGUUUUAUUUAUAUGUUGUGCAACAUUACGCAAAUUAAGACCUACAAAUGAAAUAUUACUGCACCCUUGGAACCUGCAGCAUUUGCAGAAGUAGUGGUCCAAAUCUAUUUGGAUAAUAUCGAUGAUCUGGUAUAUACCAAAAUGCUCUAUCUUUUCAUCUAGAUUUAAACUUAAGUAUAAGUAAUUUCUUUCUUUCUUUUUCUAUAUUUAAUAUAGAAUAUAAUUAUUCUAUUUUUAUAAUUAACUCUAUCUAAUUAUCCAAAAACAGAAGUAAUGACAAGAGAGAGAGCCUUUCAUGAAAACUAUAAUAGUAAAUAAAAGAGGGAAUGGCAUAAUUAGAAAUAGAUGAGACCCCAAAGUUCAAUCUCUUCCAAUCUUUAUUGGUUAGCAAGCUUAACAUGAUUCUUCUCUUUUUAGACCAUUUCAAUUGUAAGCCCAUAUUCACCUAUCAUGAACUCUUACUCACUGAAUCUCCACUUUCUUAUGGUGACAUGGUCAAAUCCAGAAACAGCUUAAGAUCUUCUUUUUAUAUAGGUUAUAGAUUCCAUCUGCGAAACCCUAAAAUUUGCUUUUGGUUUUCUCAUCUAGCAAUUGUGUGGAAUUUGCUCUUUAUUGACCUUUGGAUAUGGAAGAUUAAUAAUAAAAAAAAAAGACAACUUGAGUCACUAGUCGUGUAUGGUAUCGUAAGAGAAGAUAUACGAGCAUGGAAAUUACAUCCAAAGCCUUGCUUCCCAUAGGUAUAUCCCCUUAAUUUACCAAACUAAAACAGCUGCUCCCUGUUUAAGUUUUUAAGGUGAAUGAAUUUAGAGAGAGAAAGCUUGUGAAAACGAUGAACCAGUUGAGAGAGGAAGAGCAUUUGCUCGGUAUCUUCACUUGUAUUUCAUUUCCUUCCCUUAUGAAAGGCAUAACCCGAGUACAUGAGAGAGACAAAGAUUCAUCAACAUUAAAGAAACAAAACAACCAAUGACGGAGGCGGACACGGCGACGCGCACCACACCACAACACGUGGAUAGUAUACAAAAGCCACAAAACGGCAACGCAGCAAAUGUUAAAAGGAAUAAAGCAUGAAAGCUAAACGGUGCCGCAUUAAUCUUCCCUAAAAUGGAUCACAUGGAACUCCACACGUGACUUCUUCUCCUUCACCAAUUCGAACCCAAUUUUGGCGCGAACCUGCAUAGCUAUCAGAGGGCACAAACAUCGUCGUUAAGACACAACUCAAUUUCAACACCCCCCUUUAAUCAAAUCACGACCAAUCUGCUUCCCUUUGAAAUGCUAUCAUGGCUGAUUCAAACACCAUGUCACACAAUAAGGCUCAAGAACAAUCCAAUAAUUACUGUUUUCAGAGACAUACUCUUCCUUUUUUAUAAGAUAAUUAAUUCCACUAUUUUCAUCAAUAUUAACUUCGAGUUUCUUAAUUAUUAAUCAUUAACCAGUUUUCGGAGACAUACCUUUAGCCAGUUUCUAAUGUAAUGUUGGCACUAUCAUCAGUUUUGAUACUUAAUAUCUUGAUUUUAAACUUCAAAGUAAGAUACUUUAAUUAUAAACACAGUUCACUGCCUCCAAAUAGAAAUCCACUUUAUUAUACAUCAAUAACUUUGUUUGUUUGUCCUAGAAACAAAGCCAGACAAAUAUUGCCACGUCCCCAGACUUGAGGCACAACAGACACCGCACACCUGCAAGAUAAACCCUACAAGCAUGCAAGGCUCAAAACAUAUAUCUUAACCAACUAACUAAACGGGUCAAAUAUAUUUAUGAAAUAGAAUAAUUCUCAAAUUUAUGGUACUGAGAUAAAAUCCUGAACAAACAAUUUAAGGUAACAAAAGGUUCAUAACAUUUAAACAAUUCUGAAGCGAACUAACACCAUAUACUAGCCUAUGAAAUGUCACUCCUUGAAGUUUUUCACGUGUUUGACCAAAUCACAACCUGAAAAAAAAAAAGUGAAGGAAGGAGUGAGUCAAAUAGCUCAGCAAGUGACUAACAUCCCUUCAGCUGGAUUAAGCUUGCACAGAACAUUUAGGCUAAGAACUUUUAUUCUCAUAUAAAUAUCAAAAACAAAAUUUUGGAUAAUCUAAUUCAAAUAACAAAACUAUCUAAAUUUCAAAAUUUUAAAUUAAUGGAUAAAUACGAUUUCACAAUUAUUGCAGAUUGUAAUUGACGUAGGAGCGUCAAGUAUUGUAUUUUAUUAAAUUUAGUUUUUGCUAAUUUAGUUGAUUUAGGAUUUAUUUUCUUUAUUUUAUUUAAAUUAGGAUUCUUUUUUUAUUUUUAUUUUAAUACUUUUAAGAAUUAGUAUUUGAUUAGGAUAGUCAUGUUCUAUUUAAGAAUAGAACACCUAUUUUAUUUAAAUUUCUUAUUAAUUAUUCUAAUUGUAUUAGACAACUAGGAGUAGAGUUUUAUUAGGAUUUGGGCCUAUAAUACUAUAAAUAGGACCCUUAGGCUUAGUUACGAGACAUUCAGAAUUGAGAGUUAAUAAAUAAUAUUUUCUUAAGUAUGAGUGCUUAUUUCUCUAGGCUCUUUUAAAGAGUAAGAGGUUUUAAUAUCUUUGGCCUAACCAACCAAAGUGGGAUUUAGGCUAUUUUUCACCUUAGUGGGGUUUUCAACCUUGCCAAGAUUGGUGAUUCACCUUAGUGGGGUUUUCAACCUCACCACGAUUGGUGUUUUUCAUAACGCCUAGGUGUCUUUACAACGCCCCGGCGUCAGUUUGGUAUCAGAGCGGGAGGAUUAUUAUUCGCUGUAUAAGUUCAGAUUCGUUGUCAAGUUUCGAUACUCCCUGUACGGGUAAUUUUAUUUCUUUAUAGUUUUAUCAUCAUUUUUUUUUUCUACAUCACCAUAGUAAAAUAAAAUGCCGCCAAGACGUCAAAAUCGUCAAAGAGAUGAUCACGAGAUUGAGAUUGCAGAACUACAUCAGCAAAUUCAAGAAUUACAAGAGCAACUCGUAAGACGUGAUGCUCAAAUAAACAAUAGCAACUCUAGUGAUGAAGAGAAUGAUACCAACCCGUUUCAUCAAAAUUUGUCCUAUGAUGAAGAAGUACCUAUUUGUCGCCUGAGAACUGCUGCUGCCAGAGAUUUGAGAAUCAAAGUCGAUAUUCUUGAGUUUGAAGGAAGACUUCAUCCUGAUGACUUCCUUGACUGGCUCUACACAGUAGAAAGAGUUUUUAAGCUUCAAGAUAUUCCCGAUGAAAAACGUGUGAAGCUUGUGGCAAUUAAAUUGAAGAAACACGGUUCUAUUUGGUGGAAAAAUCUCAAAAGACAACGAGAAAGAGAAGACCGCUACAAGAUCAGAACAUGGGAUAAGAUGCGUCGAGAACUAAAGCGUAAGUUCCUUCCUGAGCAUUAUUGACAAGAAAUUUUUAUCAAAUUUCAUAACUUGAGGCAAAAAACAAUGACGGUGGAAGAAUAUACAAUGGAGUUCGAGCAACUUCACAUGAAGUGCGAUGUCCAUGAGCCUAAAGAACAAACUGUAGCUCGUUAUCUUGGGGGUCUUAAUGUUGAAAUUACAGAUGUUGUUCAACUACAACCAUAUUGGAACCUAAAUGAUGUCAUCAGAUUAGCAUUAAAGGUUGAGAAACAACAAUUACGAAAAAGCUCAAUGAGUUCAUCUAGACAGAAAGAUUCCACUUCAAACCGUGGGAGACAGAGUUCGGCAACCAUUCCACCUCCAAAGGUAAACUCUUCCAAAACUCUAAAUCAUAAAGAGACUACUUCUACUCGUGCUCCUAAUGUCAACAAAAAGUGUUUCAAAUGCCAAGGAUUUGGGCAUAUUACUUCUGAUUGUCCAAAUCGAAGAAUUAUCUCUUUAGUUGAAGAAGAAGUCAUGGAAGAACCUAGCCUUGAAGAAGUAGAUGAUGAGCUAGAAAUAUUCAAUAACGAAGAGAUAGAAGAAGUCUCUGCUGACCAUGGAAAAGCUCUGGUUGUACGUCGUAACCUUAACACUGCUAUGAUGACAGAAGAUGAAAGUUGGCUCCGUCAUAAUAUAUUCCAUACAAGGUGCACAUCCCAAGGGAAGGUUUGUAAUGUCAUUAUUGAUAGUGGAAGCUGUGAAAAUGUUAUUGCCAACUACAUGGUAGAAAAGUUGAAACUUCCAACCGAAGUACAUCCUCAUCCUUACAAGCUACAAUGGCUGAGAAAAGGAAACGAAGUUAAGGUAACAAAGUGCUGUUGUGUUCAAUUCUUUAUUGGAAGUAAGUAUGAAGAUGAAGUCUGGUGUGAUGUUAUCCCAAUGGACGCAUGCCACUUGUUGUUAGGACGGCCAUGGCAAUAUGAUCGUCGAGCUCACUAUGAUGGAUACAAGAAUACUUAUUCCUUCAUCAAGGAUGGAGUAAAAAUUAUGCUGACUCCAUUAAAGCCAGAAGACCGACCAAAGAGACAAGAUGAAGAUAAAGCACUCAUCACUGUGCCUAGCUUAAGCAAAGCUUAUUGUGAGUUAAACCAUUUAUGUCUCUUAUUAGUCUCUAAGGAGAAUAAAGUGUCUUCAUCCUUAUCCAAUGAUGGUCAAACAAAAUUGAUCAACCAAAGUUCGGGAAACUUAUCGAGAAGCUUUGUGGACAAUCAUGCCGUUAACAAGACUACAGUUAAGUAUGAUUUUCCUAUCCCUCGAUUAGAUGACAUGUUCAUUGGCUCUAAAGUGUUUUUGAAGAUGGAUUUGAAGAAAAGAGAUCAACAAAUUCGAAUACGACUUGGAGAUGAAUGGAAAACAACUUUCAAAACAAUGGAUGAAUUUGAUCAAAUGGUUGGUAUGGACUAUGACAAUAUAUGGAUCCAGACAUCAACAUGGAGUAUGUCCAGACCUACUCGUCAGAGCCGAGUUUUUCUGACCCGAGGAGAAUGACGCAGGAGCGUCAAGGAUUGUAUUUUAUUAAAUUUAGUUUUUGCUAAUUUAGUUGAUUUAGGAUUUAUUUUCUUUAUUUUAUUUAAAAUAGGAUUCUUUUCUUAUUUUUAUUUUAAUACUUUUAAGAAUUAGUAUUUGAUUAGGAUAGUCAUGUUCUAUUUAAGAAUAGAACACCUAUUUUAUUUAAAUUUUUUAUUAAUUAUUCUAAUUGUAUUAGACAACUAGGACUAGAGUUUUAUUAGGAUUUGAGCCUAUAAUACUAUAAAUAGGACCCUUAGGCUUAGUUACGAGACAUUCAGAAUUGAGAGUUAAUAAAUAAUAUUUUCUUAAGUAGGAGUGCUUAUUUCUCUAGGCUCUUUUAAAGAGUAAGAGGUUUUAAUACCUUUGACCUAGCCAACCAAAGUGGGAUUUUGGCUAUUUUUCACCUUAGUGGGGUUUUCAACCUUGCCAAGAUUGGUGAUUCACCUUAGUGGGGUUUUCAACCUCACCACGAUUGGUGUUUUUCAUAACGCCUAGGUGUCUUUACAACGCCCCGGCGUCAGUAAUGGUCUCCCGUAACAUACUAUGACCAUAUUUAACCCCUAUGGCAUACGUCAUAAUCAUAACAGAAACCACAAUUAACCCUAGUGGCAUGAGUCAUAAAACCAUAAUUAACCCUAGUAGCAUGGAUCAUAAGUAUAUCAGAAGCAAUCAUUGGCUACUUUGAACAGAUAUCACAAGUACCACUAUUCUGUAACCGGUGGUGUGGUUGGGAAAUCGAUAUCUAAUCACAUAAUACAUGUCGACAUGGCCAACGUUUAACCCCCAUUGGCAAGAUCAUAACAUAGCCAAAGGAAGCUUUGACUCAUAUCCUUAUCAACCCAAAACAGUCCUCAUCUCUUCCAGCAAGAUGUUCCUUCUUCAUUCUUGAAGCUUCCAAUGCCAUUCUCUCAUUUUCCCAUGGAAGCUUAAUUUUCUUUCAUUUUCUUUCCUUGUUUUCUUUCCAUUUCCUUUCUCUUCUUGCUUCUUUCCUCUCCCAACUCCUUGUGCACCAAAGUUACAACUUCUAACCCCAAUUUUCAGCAUACCUAAACCCUAGGAGGAGAAAAAAGAAAAAGAGAGAAAGGAAGAAAAAAGCUUGGUUUUGGUGAUUUAAGUAAGGAACGGUAAGAAUUUUGUUUUUGGCUUGAGUAGUUUUUGAAAAUGAGUUAGUGACUUAAAGAAAUGUCUUGUGGCAACAAAGAUUGGCUUGAUUGGAGAAAAAUUGGUAACAUGUAAGCCAAUAAACCCAUGGGUACAUGAAGGACUCAAAGUGGAAAAGGAAAACGGUAAGCAUAACACUAUGUUUUAAAGCCUACGGUUAGUUAAAUAUUGUGAGGAAUUAUGGUUGUUGAAAGGAUUUAUUUGCCUAAGUUGGUUGAAAAUUUUCAAGAUUGUAUGGCAUGUUGUUUGAAAGAAAUGAAAAAGGAAUAUUGUGGAUGGAGGAUUGAGAAACAAAGUAUUGAAAGUUAGAUAGAUAACAAUGCAUGUAAACUAGGAAAUAAUUGAGUGAAAGUGAGAAUGAUUGUUGCUACCAUAUAUGUGGAUUAUGUGUGGAAAUAUAAGAUAGAUUUGGGUGGAAAUUAUUUAGAAAGGUUGAAGUAGACACGUGACAUCAUAAUUAAGUUGCUGGUGAUAUAAUCUAAGGAAUUUCGUAAGCAAUGAUAUAAGUAAUUUUGGUAAAAAUAUAUUAAGAUGUGAGUUAAUUGAAGAUGGUUUCAUGAUAGGAUGAAAAACAUAAAUUUGAGUAAGGAUUAAUUGAUUGAAGUGCUGCAUGUAUACAUAUGUAAUUAAAUAUAUUGAGUUUGUAUUAUUGUUAGGAUGUGCAAAGAUAAUGUUAGAGUACUGUGGUGGCGUGCUGGAGUAAAUAUCGAGCGAUCGGCCAGUGAAAAUAGUUAGAGACACCUCCGAUCAAAUAGCGAUAUAAUAUCCUGCUAUAGUAAAGUGAGUGAAUUGCAUUUCAAAAUCAUUUUGGGAAUGUGACUGCUUUGUAUAAAGCAUUUGAAUGAUUUUAUACAACUUUAUCUUAAAACAAGUGCCUUGAGAACAAGCUUUUGCUAAAUGGUUUUAUAUUGUGAUAUGUGGUUGUUAUUGAUUCAUGCACUAUUUCAUUAUGAUGAUAUAUAUAUAUAUAUAUAUGUUGUGCAUGAUAGUUGAUAUUGUGUAUAAUGACUAUAAUCGUGUGUGUGCACGAUGUGGGGGGAUGCACAGUCGGUGAUGAUGGUGGUGUGGGAGAUGGAUGAUGAUAGUGCUCGUGUGCACGAUAUGGGGGGAUGUACACGAUGAUACUGAUUGUGCACGAUGUGAGGGGAUGUAAAAAUAUUUUCUUAAAUCCUAUCAAGCAAAUUUUUUUAUUUAAAUAUUUUUUAUUUUUUAUUUUUUAAAAACAUUUAAUUUUUUAUACUUUAAUAUAUGUUAAUAUUAAUAUAAUCAUAUUUUGUUAAUUACGAUGAUUCUAAUAGAGAAAUUAAAUUAAAAUUAAGAAAAUUUAAUAUAUUGAAAGUCAUUAUUCAUAAGCUACAUAAUUUAUAUAAGUAGCCAAAUAAAAAAAGCUACAUAAUUUAUAUAAUAAAAUUAUUAAAAUAAAAAGAAUAUUUUUUGGAAAGUCAAAAUAAAAUGAAUAUUAAUUAUGGAAAUUAAAAUUUUCUUAAUUUUAAUAAUGAAAUUUUGUAAAUUAUCUUCAAUUUUAAUUACUACGUUUUUAUCUUAUGCCUUUAUAAUUAUUUAGAAUUAAUCCAUUAAAAAUAAUUUUGCGAUCCCUCAACAAUUUUAGUAAGUCAUUAUUAACUUUAUUCAAUUAAUUAUUUUAUUUUUUAUUACUUAUCCAAAAAAUAAUUUCAUUAUUUUAUUCUUCUCUCUUUUUUAAAUUAAUUUUAUAAAUUUAAUUCAUGCAUACAAAAAUUACAUAAAUAAAAUAAAUUGAAUAAGCUUCAACCUAAACCAAUUUGGAUUUGAGUGAAUCCGACUCAGCUCUUCCUUUUAUUUUUUCUUAUUCAUAAAACGACAAUACUAUUUUAAUUUAAAGAAAAACAUCAAUGAAGUAAUUCUUUGUGCAUAUGUUUUAUUUAUCUAUUGUGCAACGUUACGAAAAUUAAAACCCUAUAACGAAAUAUUACUGCACCUUUGGACCUUGCAACAUUUGCAGAUACAGUGGUUCAGAUCUAUUUGAAUAAUAUUGAUGAUUUGGUAUAUACCAAAAUGCUCUAUCUUUUCAUAUAGAUUUAAACUUAAGCAUAAGCAAUUUCUUUUUUUCUUUUUUUAUAUCUAAUAUAAAAUAUAAUUAUUCUAUUUUUAUAAUUAACUCUAUCUAAUUGUACAAAAACGGAAAAAAUGACGAGACAAAGAGGCUUUCUCUAAAAUUAUAAUAAUAAAAAAAUAAAAUAAUAUAAUUAUUCUAUUCCAUAUGUGAAAUUCCCUGGGAUUUGCUUUUGGUUUUCUCAUCUAACAAUUGUGUGGAAUUUGCUCUUUCUUGACCCUUGGAUGUGGAAGAUUAAUAAUAAAAAAAGACUACUUGAGUCGCUAGUCGUGUAUGGUACCGUAAGAGAGGAUAUACGAGCAUGGAAAUUACACCCAAAGCCCUGCUUCCCAUAGUAUGUCCCCUUAAUUUGCCAAGCCAAAACAGCCCCUCCCUGUUCAAGUUUUUAAGGUGAAUGAAUUUAGAGAGAGAAAGCUGGUGAAAACGAUGAACCAGUUGAGAAAGAAACUUCAUUUGUAUUUCAUUUCCUUCCCUUAUGAAAGGCAUGACCCGAGUACAUGAGAGAGACAAAGAUUCAUCAACAUUAAAGAAACAAAACAGCCAAUGACAACGGCGAACAUGGCGACGCGCACCACACCACAACACGUGGAUAGUAGACAAAAGCCACAAAACGGUAACGCAGCAAAUGUUAAAAGGAAUAAAGCAUGAUAGCUAAACGGUGCCGCAUUAAUCCCCCCUAAAAUGAAUCACGUGGAACUGCACACGUGACUUCUUCUCCUUCACCAAUUCGAACCCCCAUAGCUAUCAGAGGGCACAAACACUGUUGUUAAGACACAACUCAAUUUCAACACUCCCCUUUAAUCAAAUCACGACCAAUCUUCUUCUCUUUUAAUAACAACCAUAUUACGUUCAUGAUGUUGCAACUUUUGCGCCCAAAUGGUUGAAAUGCUAUCAUGGCUGAUUCAAACACCAUGUCACACAAUAAUGCCCAAGAACACACCAAUAAUCGCUGCUUUCAGAGACAUAAUCUUCCUUUUUUAUAAGAUAAUUAAUUCCACUGUUCUAAUCAAUAUUAACUUCGAGUUUCUUAAUUAUUAAUCUUUAGCCAGUUUUCGAAGACAUACCUGCAGCCAGUUUGUAAUGUAAUGUUGGCAAUAUCAUCAGUUUUGAUCCUUAAAAUCUUGGAUUUAAACUUCAAAGUAGGAUCCUUUAAUUAUAAACACAGUUCACUGCAUUCAAAUAGAAAUCCACUUUAUUAAACUUCAAUAACUUUGUUUGUUUGUCCCAGAAACAAGGCCAGACAAAGAUAAAAGUAGCCCAAGUUGUAACUUUGAGGCCUUAACAUUGACGGUAGAUACAAGUUCUACUCAUGAAGCAAACCCCAUAAACUGGAGCUCCAAAUUUCCCAGUUCUCCAAAAACGCUGAAUGCAAAGAUUAUUGCAUUCAUCUUGUGUGCAGCCUGGAUUCGGAAAUGAUUGCUCACACUCUCAGCUCUGUCCCAUCAUGUGCUGAUUGCCUGUAAUCGUAAAACACACGUCUGAUUAAUGAUUAACCUGCACACCAUUGAAAGGCUUAUUUCUUUACAGUUCUAUCCUACUUUUGUUUUUUAAUGCUAAAGGGCUGCAUAGAUUUAGUGAAUAAUGGAAACCUUACCAAAAGAAAGUAACAGAAGCAGUAAAACGGCAGAGAAGGAGAAGGAGAAGCUCUUCAUGGCUUCAAUUUGUUUUGUCUGUGGCAAUGCGUUGGUUCAAGACUGCAGGGACCAUAUGGUAUCUGCUAUUUAGAAGAAGUUGAGUAUGUAAGAUCCAUUGCUUGGAAUUCUAAAUUCUUGUUACUUUUGACAUAAAAGGAAAGAUAUAUGUUGGAUCAAGGUUGUUUUCUUCCAUUAUAACCAACAAAAAUAGUUGUAAAAUUCAUCAUACAUGGAAGUUCAAUUAUUGUGUUUACUCAUACAUGGUCAGACACCUAAUUUCCAAUUAGAAAAAUUAUAACAACUUGUGUCGAGCAUAAGACAGUAGAUUACAAAGAUUCACAAUGACAUGACAACUAAAGCAGACAAAACAAUGUCCAAUGAUCAGGAAGCAAAUAUGGGUCUUAUGUUUCUUAUAACAGAUAUGGUAGAGUGCAUCACCAAAUGCAAAAAUGCCUCUGAUAGAAGACAUGAACUCACUAGAACUGCCAUCAGUAGCACAAUUUUUUUCAUAUUAAAAAUAAAUGUUCAUAGACCUGAAGCUUUCAAAUUGCAUAACAAGAUGGAUUUUGAAAAAAUAAUAAAUGAAUGAGCAAAGGAAUAGAACUUCCAAACAAUGAUUUGGAAGUUCAACUUCAUGCCAGAAAAACAGAGCCAAUUGCAAUUUUACUAAACAAAUAGAACUUCAGCAACCUCGCACUUUCCUGGUCUUUUUAACCUUUUCUUGUUUUCUUUAUUCUAAAAAAAAGAAAUACAGAAAAACCUAUUAAGAUUAGGGCAUUCUUUGUGGAAGAUAAAAACAUAUAAACAUAUUGAUUAAGUUAAAGCUGUUACUGAUAGACUAGCCAAUUAAGGAAUAUCACACAAUAAAAGUUCAAAAUGAUGCAAACACAUACACACACUUUCUCUAUCAUUUUUCUAUUGCUCUCAAAUGAUAGAGAUGAGUUGCUUUUUAUGCAUGCCAGCCAACUUAUCAGGAUACUAUACAUCUCGAUUGAAUAAUAAACUCAUCCCUUUCUGAAUAAACUUAAUUUCAUUAGGGAGACUUUUCAACUCUGGCAUAAUACAUCCACAGUUUAUUUAAAGUGCUUCAAUAAAUCAGGAAAAAGAGGAAUAAAAGAAUUAAGCAACUGAGCUAUUACACUGAAAAGAAAUUGGGAAAAUAAACUCAAUUGAAAGGCCUCAAUAAUGUUCAUGAAAGAAAUUUUAAAAUAAAAUAAAUAUGGUAAACAAAGAGAUACAUUAUAGACAAAACUCAAAAGUUUAGAAAAUGAAAGGAAUGAGUAACAAAUGUUACUAUGUAGAGUGCAGAUGGGAUACCUGAGCCAAAUGAACUUUCUGAGACAUUGAGUUUAGGCGAUAAUGACUUCACCAUCAAUUUUUAUCGAUGGGAUGUGGGAAAUCUUGGCCCAAUCUUUACCUUUCUCCUUUUGGCAACGUUCUGUCAGCAAUGGACACAAGCGAAUGCUUAGAGAAGAAAGGCAGACAGGGAGCCCCUCUGGUGGCAUGGAUUGGAGCUUUGCGCAGUUAGCGACUUCCAAUCGCCGAAUAGAGGUAAGGUGUUGAAGACCUUUGUAGUCCAAAGUUUUGAGAUUUGGAAGACCAUAAAUGUGAAGAUUGGUAAUAGUAGGUGGCAGCAGCUGCUCAUCUGGAAAGAACUCCAUAUCUCCUCCAUUCAUUUUGAAAUAUGUGAGACAGCGGAGUUUGUGCAAUCCCCAUCCCAUUCGACCAGCAAUAAGUUUAUUACAAUUAUCAAUUUCAAGAUAUUCUAAGUUGAAUGGCAAGCCCCCUUCUGGAAAUGACUCAAUCUCUGAACAAUUCGCUACAAUCAAAUAGUGGAGGGAUGGGAGAAGGGAGUGCAUUUGCUCGGGGAGUGACUUUAAAUUUUUGCAAUUGAAGAGAUAAAGCAUUGUCAAAUUAGGGGCAGAUAAUCCUCCUUUGGGAAACGAUACAAAAUUAGGACAGUCGAACAUAUUUAUAGAAUGGAGAGAUGCGAGAUGCUGGUGAGGUUCCUCUAAUGCAGAAAACGACUUGAUGUUUGUACAAUGCACGAAGUUCAAGGUAUUUAGGUUAGGAAAAGAGCCUAAUGGGAAUGAUUCUAGUGAAUCAAGGGCAUUCCACACGUUCAAUUCUUCUAGAGAUGUGUACAAGAGGAUUCUAGAAAAAUCAAACUCACCGCAGUUUUCAAUCUCCAACUUCUUUAAGGAAACAGGUAG